rnacentral:rRNA from 1 species
CCCCUUGCUCAAGAUUAGCAUGCAUGUCUAGUGUAAUAACUUUAUACUGUGAAACUGCGAAUGGCUCAUUAAAUCAGUUAUCGUUUAUUUGAUGGUCUCUUACUACUUGGAUAACCGUAGUAAUUCUAGAGCUAAUACAUGCACAAAAACCCGACUCCUGGAAGGGUUGUAUUUAUUAGAUACAGAACCAACCCACUCCGGUGGUUUUUGGUGAUUCAUAAUAACUUCGCGAAUCGCAUUGCUUUACGCUGGCGAUGAUUCAUUCAAAUUUCUGCCCUAUCAACUUUCGAUGGUAGGAUGCUAGUGAAUGGAAGUUUGAGGCAAUAACAGGUCUGUGAUGCCCUUAUAUGUUCUGGGCCGCUCGCGCACUACACUGAUGAGAGCAACAAGUUUAUCACCUGCGUCGAACCGUCUGGGUAAUCUUGCAGAUUUCAACAAGAUGGGGAUAGAUUAUUGCAUCUUUUAAUCUUAAACGAAGAAUUCCUAUUAAGCGUGAGUCA